rnacentral:rRNA from 1 species
AUUGAACGCUGGCGGCAGGCCUAACACAUGCAAGUCGAGCGGGUGAAGGUAGUUUGCUCCUGGAUUCAGCGGCGGACGGGUGAGUAAUGCCCAGGAAUCUGCCUGGUAGUGGGGGAUAACGUCCGGAAACGGGCGCUAAUACCGCAUCCGUCCGGAGGGUGAACGUGGGGGAUCUUUGGACCUCACGCUAUCAGAUGAGCCUAGGUCGGAUUAGCUAGGUGGUGGGGUAAAGGCCUACCAAGGCGACGAUCCGUAACUGGUCUGAGAGGAUGAUCAGUCACACUGCGACUGAGACACGGUCCAGACUCCUACGGGAGGCAGCAGUGGGGAAUAUUGGGCGAUGGGCGAGAGCCUGAUCCAGCCAUGCGGCGUGUGUGAAGAAGGUCUUCGGAUUGUAAAGCACUUUAAGUUGGGAGGAAGGACAGUAAGUUAAUACCUUGCUGUUUUGACGGUACCAGCAGAAUAAGCACCGGCUAACUUCGUG